GGCCGCAGUAAACUGACUGUGCUAAGGUAGCAAAAUCAUUAGCCUUUUAAUUGAAGGCUCGUAUAAAAGAUUUGACAUAGAGCUUUCUGUCUUAGGGUUAUAUUUAAAAUUUUACAUUGAGGUAAAAAGGCCCCAGGCUAUUAAAAAGACGAUAAGACCCUAAAAUCUACUUAAAACUAGUUUCUAUUAAGGUUCUAUCAAUUUGGUGUAUAGUAUACUGGGGCGGUAAAUACAAAUAAAACUGUAGUACUUUGAACAUAUUGGAUGAAAUAUAUAUAUAACCUUUAUGAAUAUAAUAAGAUACUUUAGGGAUAACAGCAUAAUAUAUUUUGAUAGCCCCUAUUGACAAAUAUGUUUAUGACCUCGAUGUUGAAUUGAAAUAUCUGUAUUUAGAAGAAUAAAUAUGAGUGAGUCUGUUCGACUCUUAAUAUUUCACAUGAUUUGAGUUCAACCGGCG
rnacentral:rRNA from 1 species